AUAGUUAUAGUUCAGUGGUAGAGCGCAUGCUUAGCAUGCACAAGGUCCUGGGUUCAAUCCUCAGUAUCUUCA
rfam:Camelus ferus unplaced genomic scaffold scaffold210, whole genome shotgun sequence.